rnacentral:tRNA from 1 species
GCCUAGAUAGCUUAGUUGGUUAAAGCUCUAUAGUGAAGUUAUAGCGACAUCGGUUCGAAUCCGGCUCUGGGCA